GGGAUUCAGCAGCACAUAUAUUAAAACUGGAACCACUGACAGAAGGUUAGCAUGGCCCCUGAGCAAGAUGUCACAGAAAUUUGUGAAGCCUUCCAUAUUUUU
ensembl:snRNA U6 U6 spliceosomal RNA